UACGUAGGGUGCAAGCGUUAAUCGGAAUUAUUGGGCGUAAAGAGCUCGUAGGCGGUUUGUCGCGUCUGCCGUGAAAGCCCGGGGCUCAACUCCGGAUCUGCGGUGGGUACGGGCAGACUAGAGUGAUGUAGGGGAGACUGGAAUUCCUGGUGUAGCGGUGAAAUGCGCAGAUAUCAGGAGGAACACCGAUGGCGAAGGCAGGUCUCUGGGCAUUAACUGACGCUGAGGAGCGAAAGCAUGGGGAGCGAACAGG
rnacentral:rRNA from 1 species